CCCAGGGAAAACCCCUCGGUUCCCUGCCUGCAAACAUCUGGCCCCCCAAGUGCCAACAGCUGAGACUCCAGGAGCUCUCCAGGUGCUGAAGGCAGCAGAGAGUCUGGAAAUCUCAUUAAGAGCCCUGAAGUGCAGUCAUUAUUUCCCAAGGCUCCUUUUGGCUGCUGGUAAUUGCUGCAGGCACAACAGGACCGAGGCAGGCAGCCGUGGAUCACAAGUCUCCACCAAGGUUUGUGAGGUCAUGGCCAUCACCACGCAGGAGCUGGUGAGCCACAGCUCCAGCUAAUUAAAACUGCAGGAGCAGAGCAUUCAGCAGGUCUGAGCACAAUUACCCAAGGAAGAAUUUUGCCAGGACACUGUGACUUAGCCCAGUGCUUUCUGCACAAAGUGCUGAAGGAGUUUAAUUGUCACCGCUGAUGGGAGCCCACUCAGUGACUCAUCCCAGCACACAGGGGCUGCUUUUCCCACUCCUGAUUUACUCCCAAGGCCACCACUCCACCAGCAGGACCACACUGGGAAGGGCCAAUGUCCUCUGCGUUUCAGGACACCAGGCUGGAUCCAUGGUUUCCCUUUGGGCCCAUCUCUAACAGCGAGAGCCAGCAGAGGGGCUGGAAUUUGGGAGGAGUCCUCAGGAACCAAAGAAGGAUGCACAUGGCUUGUGCUAAAUCUUGAAGAAGGACCAGGGGGCCAGCCCUGAACAUGUCCCUGCAGAAGGUGUGGUGGAUUCCCACAUAACCCCACCUCCAAACACCUCCUCCCACUCCAGGACUGCUUCCCACUCAGCAGAUCCUCCUCCCUCACACCGCAGCACCAGGCAUGCCACAGCUCAGCACAGCUGUGUAAUGAGAACCAGCCCACACACCUCUGGAUUUUAAGGGAAAGAAAGGGAUGCUCAGGUUCACCAGAGCAAGUUAUGUGGGCAAGCUCAGCUUCUCCAGGAGAAUCCACAUUAAGAAAAUUUAAUUUCAUCAAGCCAUUAAAGAAAUCAAGCUGAGAAAGA